GCUUCAAGAGUCAGUACCUGUCCCUGUCUGUCCAACUGUCCCUCUGUCUGUCCCUACAGCUUCAGCCUCGGCUUCAAGAUGCUGUGUACAGCUCCGUCCCUCUACAGAGUGGUGGAGGCUGAGGGAAGCGUCCGAGCUAAAUCCUGUGUAGAUCUGGUGGUGCGUCACCUGGACGUCUCCCCCGGCAACCGUGGGCGGAGGGACUGUUUCCGCCUGGAGGUGCGAGGAGGAGGUCAGGUGGGGGG